rfam:Pseudomonas monteilii strain TSDA-ARS-TSMARC-56711, complete genome.
CCGAGGCGUGGGGCAUGAACCCACGCCGAGGUGAAACCCGGGCAUGGGCUCAUAAGGCCCCGCUCAUUACCCAUGAAGCUAUGAGACCAGCAGGGGCUUCCGGGCUGGUACCCGGAAAUCUGCAGGAUCCUCGGUGGCGCGAUUGAGCCGCUGUAUUCGGGCUUUUUCAGGCGUUCCCUGGCUCUUGUCGAUCGUCCCCUAACCGAGGGUGACCA